CGCGGCCUAUCAGCUUGUUGGUGGGGUAAUGGCCUACCAAGGCAGUGACGGGUAGCCGGCGUGAGAGCGUGACCAGCCACACUGGGACUGAGACACGGCCCAGACUCCUACGGGAGGCAGCAGUGGGGAAUAUUGCACAAUGGGCGAAAGCCUGAUGCAGCGACGCCGCGUGAGGGAUGACAGCCUUCGGGUUGUAAACCUCUUUCAGCAGGGACGAAGCGCAAGUGACGGUACCUGCAGAAGAAGCACCGGCUAACUACGUGCCAGCAGCCGCGGUAAUACGUAGGGUGCGAGCGUUGUCCGGAAUUAUUGGGCGUAAAGAGCUCGUAGGCGGUUUGUCGCGUCUGCCGUGAAAGUCCGGGGCUCAACUCCGGAUCUGCGGUGGGUACGGGCAGACUAGAGUGAUGUAGGGGAGACUGGAAUUCCUGGUGUAGCGGUGAAAUGCGCAGAUAUCAGGAGGAACACCGAUGGCGAAGGCAGGUCUCUGGGCAUUAACUGACGCUGAGGAGCGAACGCAUGGGGAGCGAACAGGAUUAGAUACCCUGGUAGUCCAUGCCGUAAACGUUGGGCACUAGGUGUGGGGGACAUUCCACGUUUUCCGCGCCGUAGCUAACGCAUUAAGUGCCCCGCCUGGGGAGUACGG
rnacentral:rRNA from 1 species